rnacentral:rRNA from 1 species
UGAAUACGAGAUGCUACGGCGUCGAGGCAGUCUAUGUCAUACUUCCAAGAAAAGCUUGCACUGUCAUAAACAAAUAAUGCCUGUACCAUAACCGACACAGGUGGGUAGGUAGAGUAUACUAAGGGGCGCGAGAUAACUCUCUCUAAGGAACUCGGCAAAAUGACUCCGUAACUUCGGGAGAAGGAGUGCCUUAUUUAUAAGGUUGCAAUAACAAGAUCCAAGCAACUGUUUACCAAAAACACAGGUCUCCGCUAAGUCGUAAGACGAUGUAUGGGGGCUGACGCCUGCCCAGUGCCAGAAGGUUAAAGAAGUUGGUUAGCAUCCGCGAAGCUGAUAACUGAAGCCCUGGUGAACGGCGGCCGUAACAAUAACGGUCCUAAGGUAGCGAAAUUCCUUGUCGGGUAAGUUCCGACCCGCACGAAAGGCGUAAUGAUUUGGAUACUGUCUCGGAGAGGGGCUCGGUGAAAUAGACUUGUCUGUGAAGAUGCGGACUACCUGCACCAGGACAGAAAGACCCUAUGAAGCUUUACUGUAACCUGAAAUUGAAAUUGGACUUUACUCGCGCAGUAUAGGUGGGAGGCGUUGAGAAUAUUCUUGCGGGAUUAUUGGAGCCAUCAGUGAGAUACCACUCUUGUAAUGUUAGAUUUCUAACUUUGUAUCAUUAUCUGGUCAAAGAACAGUUUCAGGCGGGCAGUUUGACUGGGGCGGUCGCCUCCUAAACGGUAACGGAGGCGCACAAAGGUUUCCUCUGAACGGGUAGAAAUCGUAUCUAGAGUGUAAAGGCAUAAGGAAGCUUGACUGUGAGACCUACAAGUCGAGCAGGGACGAAAGUCGGUCUUAGUGAUCUGACGGUGCUGAGUGGAAAGGCCGUCACUCAACGGAUAAAAGUUACUCUAAGGAUAACAGGCUGAUCUCCCCCAAGAGUUCACAUCGACGGGGAGGUUUGGCACCUCGAUGUCGGCUCAUCGCAUCCUGGGGCGGUAGUACGUCCCAAGGGUUGGGCUGUUCGCCCAUGAAAGCGGUACGCGAGCUGGGUUCAGAACGUCGUGAGACAGUUCGGUCCAUAUCCGGUGUAGGCGUUAGAAUAUUGAGAGGAGCCUUCUUUAGUACGAGAGGACCGAGAAGGACAUACCUCUGGUGUACCAGUUAUCGUGCCAACGGUAAACGCUGGGUAGCUAUGUGUGGAGUGGAUAACCGCUGAAAGCAUCUAAGUGGGAAGCCCACCUCAAGAUAAG